GUAGUCUCGCACAGAUGCAUAUCAAUAAGCGGAGGAAAAGAAACUAACAAGGAUUCCCCUAGUAACGGCGAGUGAAGCGGGAAGAGCUCAAAUUUGAAAUCUUAAAGGGUUUCCCUUUACGAAUUGUAGUUUAAAGAAGUGUUUUCUGUUGAGGUUUUGGUAAAAGUUCUUUGGAAUAGGACAUCAUAGAGGGUGAGAAUCCCGUAUUUGACCUUUACUUUCAACUUUGUGAUACACUUUCAAAGAGUCGGAUUGUUUGGGAAUGCAGUCCAAAAUGGGUGGUAAAUUUCAUCUAAAGCUAAAUAUUGGCGAGAGACCGAUAGCGAACAAGUACCGUGAGGGAAAGAUGAAAAGAACUUUGAAAAGAGAGUUAAACAGUACGUGAAAUUGUCAAAAGGGAAGCGUUUGACACCAGUGUUGUUUUUCUGAAAAUCAAUUAAAGAACUGUUUAUGCUAAGCUGUUUAGACUUUAUCAGCUAAUCUGUUUAGUUUUGAGCUUUUCUUUAAUGCACUUUUCAGUUAACAAGUCAACAUCAAUUUCUUUUGCUGUAAAAAAGCUUGAGGAAGGUGGCUUGAGAUUCGUCUUAAGUGUUUAUAGCCUCUUGCCUAUGCAGUCGGAGAGAUUGAGGUCUGCAGCGUAGAUCCUUCGGGGCUAAAUGCAUUUGUGCUAAGUUAUAGCAUUUUAUAGACAACUUGUUGACUAUGAUUUGUCUUGUAGCUUACUCGCUUAUGUUAUUUUACCUACGCUUAGGAUGUUGAAGACUCUACAGAGAUA
rnacentral:rRNA from 1 species